CAGAGGGGGCAAGCGUUGUUCGGAAUUACUGGGCGUAAAGGGCGCGUAGGCGGCCCGCUAAGUCGAACGUGAAAUCCCCGAGCUCAACUCGGGAACUGCGUCCGAUACUGGCGGGCUUGAAUCCGGGAGAGGGAUGCGGAAUUCCAGGUGUAGCGGUGAAAUGCGUAGAUAUCUGGAGGAACACCGGUGGCGAAGGCGGCAUCCUGGACCGGCAUUGACGCUGAGGCGCGAAAGCUAGGGGGAGCAAACGGGAUUAGAUACCCCGGUAGUCCUAGCCCUAAACGAUGAAUGCUUGGUGUGGCGGGUAUCGAUCCCUGCCGUGCCGAAGCUAACGCAUUAAGCAUUCCGCUGGGGAUACGGUCGCAAGGCUG
rnacentral:rRNA from 1 species